UACGUAGGUGGCAAGCGUUGUCCGGAUUUACUGGGCGUAAAGAGCGCGCAGGCGGUCGUGCAAGUCGCGUGUGAAAGCCCCCGGCUCAACUGGGGAGGGUCACGCGAUACUGCUCGACUCGAAGGCAGGAGAGGGAAGUGGAAUUCCCGGUGUAGUGGUGAAAUGCGUAGAUAUCUGGAGGAACACCGGUGGCGAAGGCGGCAUCCUGGACCGACACUGACGCUGAGGAGCGAAAGCCAGGGGAGCAAACGGG
rnacentral:rRNA from 1 species